rnacentral:rRNA from 1 species
GUAGGGUACAAGCGUUGUCCGGAAUUAUUGGGCGUAAAGAGCUCGUAGGUGGUUGGUCACGUCUGCUGUGGAAACGCAACGCUUAACGUUGCGCGUGCAGUGGGUACGGGCUGACUAGAGUGCAGUAGGGGAGUCUGGAAUUCCUGGUGUAGCGGUGAAAUGCGCAGAUAUCAGGAGGAACACCGGUGGCGAAGGCGGGACUCUGGGCUGUAACUGACACUGAGGAGCGAAAGCAUGGGGAGCGAACAGGAUUAGAUACCCUGGUAGUCCAUGCCGUAAACGUUGGGCACUAGGUGUGGGGGACAUUCCACGUUCUCCGCGCCGUAGCUAACGCAUUAAGUGCCCCGCCUGGGGAGUACGGUCGCAAGGCUAAA